rfam:Pseudomonas sp. TRMO17WK12:I11 isolate Yellow genome assembly, chromosome: 1
UUGACUGGCAAAUGAUAACGAUUAUUAUUGCACUCAGCUGAUCGCGAGAUCCGCUGGAUAACCCGGAGCUUAGGUCGCUCUCGGAUUAUCUCCUCAUCAGGCUAAUCACGGUUUUUGACCCAGCUUUUUGCUGGGUCUUUUUUUU